CCUACGGGAGGCAGCAGUAGGGAAUUUUCCACAAUGGGCGAAGGCCUGAUGGAGCAAUACCGCGUGCAGGAUGAAGGCCUUCGGGUCGUAAACUGCUUUUAUGUGCGAAGAAUUUGACGGUAACACGUGAAUAAGGAUCGGCUAACUACGUGCCAGCAGCCGCGGUCAUACGUAGGAUCCAAGCGUUAUCCGGAAUUACUGGGCGUAAAGAGUUGCGUAGGUGGCAUUAUAAGUGGAGCGUGAAAGCGUGCGGCUCAACCGCAUUAUUGCGUUCCAAACUGUGAAGCUUGAGUAUGGGAGAGGUAGAUGGAAUUUCAGUGUAGGAGUGAAAUCCGUAGAUAUUAGAAGGAACACCGAUGGCGUAGGCAGUCUACUGGCCCAUUACUGACACUAAGGCACGAAAGCGUGGGGAGCAAACGGGUAUUAGAUACCCCGGUAGUCCACGCUGUAAACU
rnacentral:rRNA from 1 species